GGGUCUUGCUGGGGCAAGAGGUGCACCUGGGAGUCUGGGUCCUAAAGGACAAAGAGGACCCAGAGGACCAGAUGGCCUCCCAGGGGAUCAAGGUGUCCAUGGUGCCAAGGGUGAAAAAGGAAAUCAAGGGAAACGAGGCUCUCAUGGUCUUACUGGUAAGACUGGAAGCCCAGGGGAGAGGGGAGCUCAAGGAAAACCAG